CACGAUAUGAUUUAAGACAAUGCAAGGAGUGGCGAACGGGUGAGUAACACGUGGGAAACCUACCUCUUAGCAGGGGAUAACAUUUGGAAACAGAUGCUAAUACCGUAUAAUACUAAAAACCGCAUGGUUUUUAUUUGAAAGAUGGUUCUGCUAUCACUAAGAGAUGGUCCCGCGGUGCAUUAGUUAGAUGGUGAGGUAAUGGCUCACCAUGACGAUGAUGCAUAGCCGAGUUGAGAGACUGAUCGGCCACAAUGGGACUGAGACACGGCCCAUACUCCUACGGGAGGCAGCAGUAGGGAAUCUUCCACAAUGGGCGCAAGCCUGAUGGAGCAACGCCGCGUGUGUGAUGAAGGGUUUCGGCUCGUAAAGCACUGUUGUAAGAGAAGAAUGUGCUUGAGAGUAACUGUUCAAGUAGUGACGGUAUCUUACCAGAAAGGGACGGCUAAAUACGUGCCAGCAGCCGCGGUAAUACGUAUGUCCCAAGCGUUAUCCGGAUUUAUUGGGCGUAAAGCGAGCGCAGACGGUUAUUUAAGUCUGAAGUGAAAGCCCUCAGCUCAACUGAGGAAUUGCUUUGGAAACUGGAUGACUUGAGUGCAGUAGAGGAAAGUGGAACUCCAUGUGUAGCGGUGAAAUGCGUAGAUAUAUGGAAGAACACCAGUGGCGAAGGCGGCUUUCUGGACUGUAACUGACGUUGAGGCUCGAAAGUGUGGGUAGCAAAC
rnacentral:rRNA from 1 species